ensembl:lncRNA
AUGAGAUUCUCAGAUGUAUCAUGGAAUUUGUCAAGGAAGAAUUCUGUGCUUAAGGAUCUUCGUCUACAAGCCAUGCCUAAAAUAUUCACAGGAUUUUCUCUGAUCAAAUACUUCAAGUUUUUUCAGAACAAUGAAACGAAGAAAACAUAAAAAUAAAGAAUCGGCAUAUGAAUCUGGGUCAUCUCUCCAACCCAUAGGAUUUUGGGUUCCCUACACUGAUGGUAUCUUUUUAGGAUCUGGUGGCAAGAAUCAACAAAUACCCUAGAUGCCUUGGUGUGGCACAUAAUGUGCCAGAUGGUGGGAAGUAUUCCCCAUGAAAAUUUGAGCGCCUGCCACCAUGGUGAAGUUUCUAAGUUGUCAGUGGUCUAUGCCACAUUCACUCAUUCUCUACAAGGUGGAAGUUAAGUUUCUACACCUUACACGCCCCUGCCAUUGAGGAAAAGCCCCUUUAGAGUCUGCAGGCAACAUGCCUUCCCACCAUUCCUAAAGCCUGUACCUGUGAUCUCAUGGGAAGUUUUCUAUAACCAGCUCUAUGAGAAAGCAAAAAAUGUAAGGCUGGUUUACACAUUAAAAAUGGAUUUUCAAAGUAAGAGCUAUACAACUAUAACAUAACAACUCCACUCACUGGGGUCCUAGAAGACAGUAGGGGCAGAAACUUGAGCAGUGCACUUCAAUGGUAGUGGAGAUGACUAGACAUAUGGAUACAUACCCAACAAUGAAUGAUCUCAAUAGAUUUUCUGAAUAAUAAUAAACAUGAAAGGAAACUGACUUGAGGAUCAGUGACAAGGUAUUCAGAGGAAGAAGUAAAUGGGAAAUCAGCAAAAGACCUCUUGGGUCAUUACUUAGUGCAAAUAUAUUUGUAUCUCACAUAUACACUGCCUUGGCACAGGGCAUACACUGCAGAGGAGUCUCGAUAAUCACACAGACAAGGUGACCUGGUGGAUGUUGAAAGUCAGUCUGUCUUAAUGCUUUUUUGUUUUCAGAGGCAGGGUCUUGCUCUGUUUCCCAGGCUGGAGUGCAGUGGUAUGACUGUAGCUCAGUGCAGCCUCAAACUCCUGGGCUCAAGCAAUCCUGCUACCUCAGCCUCCUGAGUAGCUAGGACUACAGGGGUAAGUGCCACCAUGCCUGGCUUUUUUAUUUUUUUUAAAGAUUUUC